AGUUGAAAAAGGUAAACUGACCGAAAGGUCAGGACGCAAAGUCCUGGGUUUAAGGUACUUAUGUACUAAAACUGCCAGACUUCCGGC
rnacentral:ncRNA from 1 species